rnacentral:rRNA from 1 species
GACGAACCGUACGAACGUUAUUCGGAAUCACUGGGCUUAAAGGGUGCGUAGGCGGCGCGACAAGUUGGGUGUGAAAUCCCUCGGCUCAACCGAGGAACUGCGCCCAAAACUGUCGUGCUCGAGGGAGACAGAGGUGAGCGGAACUUAGGGUGGAGCGGUGAAAUGCGUUGAUAUCCUAAGGAACACCGGUGGCGAAGGCGGAUCUCUGGGCCAUAACUGACGCUGAGGAGCGAAAGCAUGGGGAGCGAACAGG